AAAAAAGCAGAGGUCUGUUGCCUAUGCGAGCAGUCCUCUCGUAACCUUCAGGGAUAUAGUAAUCAUUGUUGUUGGGUGAACCUCGGUUCCUUGUUUGUGUCUGUAGGUUCAGUAAAUGGUGGAACAUAG
rfam:Glycine max cultivar Williams 82 chromosome 8, whole genome shotgun sequence.